AGAAUGUGGGCCAAGGACCAUGUGACUCCAGCAUGAUGCUUACCUACACUGGGGAGGUCAGGCAGAACCGUCGUGCAUUUCCUGCUUGUGACAGUCUCCGAGUUUCAUGACUGUGGGGCAGAAGUUCUCCUGCAAGUGCCAAAAUGGACUCUAACUACUGAAGCACUCACAGCGCUGUGGGUUAACUACACAGCCAUGAGAAGAAAGGAUAGAAACACAGUGAAUAAGGAGAGUCAACCACAUCUGAAAGAGCCCACCUGUGAAAACGACCAUUCCGCGAGAGCCAGGGUGGGGGGUGGCGUCUGGACGUAGGCGCCUCCGGUUGCCAGCACACGUUCCUUAGUGGAAUGACACUGAACAGACAUCAAAAGGGACAACGAGAUGGCAUAUCACGAAAGAUGGCAAGAAAACAAAAAAGUUAAUCGCAGGAGUGAGAUCCGUGUAACACGCAGCAAGGAACCAAAAAACAAAAACAAAAAACAAAAACCCGCCUCCACCCGUAGAAUACAGUAAAGUGAGUUCUGAUGGAACCAAAAUGUGGUACGUGCAUGAUUCCACUAUUAAGGUGUCGUGUGUUACUCAUUGACUUACAAAGAGAAGGCAGUGGGGGAAAGCAGGAUUUAAAAU
rnacentral:lncRNA from 1 species